AGAUUAAGUUAUUAAGGGCGCACGGUGGAUGCCUUGGCACUAGAAGCCGAUGAAGGACGUUACU
rnacentral:rRNA from 3 species